rnacentral:rRNA from 1 species
UACGUAGGGGGCAAGCGUUGUCCGGAAUCAUUGGGCGUAAAGCGCGUGUAGGCGGCUGGCUAAGUCCGCUCUGAAAGCCCGGGGCUCAACCCCGGGAGGCGGGUGGACUACUGGUCAGCUUGAGUCCGGAAGAGGAGUGUGGAAUUCCUGGUGUAGCGGUGAAAUGCGCAGAUAUCAGGAGGAACACCGGUGGCGAAGGCGGUUCUCUGGGCCUGUUCUGACGCUGAGGAGCGAAAGCGUGGGGAGCGAACAGG